rnacentral:rRNA from 1 species
UACGAAAGGAGCAGGCGUUAUUCAGAUUAACUGGGCGUAAAGGGCACGUAGGCGGUUUGUUAUGUGUACUAUAAAAUUAUAAAGCAUAACUUUAUACUGUAGUAUAGACAACUAAACUAGAGUUAGGUAGAGGGUAGUAGAAUUUCUAAUGUAAAGGUGAAAUUUGAUAAAUUUAGAGAGAAUACCAAUGGCGGAGGCAACUACCUGGGCCGUAGCUGACACUGAGGUGCGAAGGUAUGGGGAGCAAAUAGG